rnacentral:rRNA from 1 species
UACGUAGGGGGCAAGCGUUGUCCGGAAUCAUUGGGCGUAAAGCGCGUGUAGGCGGCCCGAUAAGUCCGCUGUGAAAGUCCAGGGCUCAACCCUGGGAUGCCGGUGGAUACUGUCGGGCUCGAGUCCGGAAGAGGCGAGUGGAAUUCCUGGUGUAGCGGUGAAAUGCGUAGAUAUCUGGAGGAACACCGGUGGCGAAGGCGGCAUCCUGGACCAACACUGACACUGAGGAGCGAAAGCCAGGGGAGCAAACGGG